rnacentral:rRNA from 1 species
GUCAUGGGCGAGAGCCUGAACCAGCCAUCCCGCGUGCAGGAACGCCAAGUGCCCUAUGGGUUGUAAACUGCUUUUACGCAAGAAGAAUGGUACCCUCGUGAGGGUAUUUGACGGUACUGCGUGAAUAAGCACCGGCUAACUCCGUGCCAGCAGCCGCGGUAAUACGGAGGGUGCAAGCGUUAUCCGGAUUUAUUGGGUUUAAAGGGUGCGUAGGCGGUAUUAUAAGUCAGUGGUGAAAUGUUGCAGCUUAACUGUAAAAUUGCCAUUGAAACUGCAGUACUUGAGUUAUCUUGAAGUAGGCGGAAUGUGUAGUGUAGCGGUGAAAUGCUUAGAUAUUACACAGAACACCGAUUGCGAAGGCAGCUUACUAAGGGUAAACUGACGCUGAGGCACGAAAGCGUGGGGAUCGAACAGGAUUGACCCGGGGGCCCCGCACGUAAGCGGAUGAUACACUCGUGGUUGAAUUCGAUGAUACGCGAGGAACCUUACCUGGGGGCUUAAAUGUGCUAUGACCGCCUGGAGAAAUUCGGCUUUUCGCAAGAACAGAGUACAAGGUGCUGCAUGGUUGUCGUCAGCUCGUGCCGUGAGGUGUCGGGUUAAGUCCCAUAACGAGCGCAACCCUUAUUGUCAGUUGCUAACAGGUUAAGCUGAGGACUCUGGCGAGACUGCCACCGUAAGGUGUGAGGAAGGUGGGGAUGACGUCAAAUCAGCACGGCCCUUAUGUCCAGGGCUACACACGUGUUACAAUGGCCGAUACAAAGGGCAGCUACCAGGCGACUGGAUGCUAAUCUCUAAAGUCGGUCUCAGUUCGGAUCGAAGUCUGCAACCCGACUUCGUGAAGCUGGAUUCACUAGUAAUCGCGCAUCAGCCAUGGCGCGGUGAAUACGUUCCCGGGCCUUGUACACACCGAUACCGAUAUG